UUAGAUUAGGUUUUUCCUUUUCUUUUUAGAAUAGAUUUUUUUUUUGUUUCUUCUUUCUUGUUAAAGACCUUCGUAAAUGAAUAUGGAUCAAGUUUUUGGGUGUUAUUGGUUCCACAUAUAAAUGAGCAUUUUUACCCUUACCUUUAUAUUGUGUAUAUCAACUAUUUGAUGAAAUGUCUAUUUGAGUAUUAAGCUUUAUUAUAUGUUGAUAUUGCUUUUGGUUAAUUGAUGAAUUGAUUGUUAGAUUAAGUUAAUGUCUAUGCUUUAUUUUUUAGUUUUUUUUAUAUCAAAAUG
rnacentral:lncRNA from 1 species